GCCCCGGGCGGACGCGAAGCAGGCACCAGCGCCCAGGACACGACACCCCUACUGGUGGACAGACGUGGAAGCAGGGGAGUGCGGUGGCGAAGGCAGUGCCGCAACGUCGAGCGACUGCCGGGU
ncrna:unclassified sequences Betaproteobacteria-1 RNA